rnacentral:rRNA from 1 species
AGGACGAACGCUGGCGGCGUGCCUAACACAUGCAAGUCGAACGGAGAUACGAUUUCGGUUGUAUCUUAGUGGCGAACGGGUGAGUAACGCGUGAGCAACCUGACCUUUAGAGGGGGAUAACACUUGGAAACAGGUGCUAAUACCGCAUAAGACCACGACCCGACAUCGGGAUGAGGUCAAAGGAGUAAUCCGCUAGAGGAGGGGCUCGCGUCCCAUUAGAUAGAUGGCGGGGUAACGGCCCACCAUGUCGACGAUGGGUAGCCGAGCUGAGAGGCUGAUCGGCCACACUGGAACUGAGACACGGUCCAGACUCCUACGGGAGGCAGCAGUGGGGAAUAUUGGGCAAUGGGCGCAAGCCUGACCCAGCAACGCCGCGUGAGGGAAGAAGGCCUUCGGGUUGUAAACCUCUGUCCUUGGUGACGAAAAAAUGACGGUAGCCAAGGAGGAAGCCCCGGCUAACUACGUG